CGGAGUGUAGCUCAGUCUGGUAGAGCACCGUGUUCGGGACGCGGGGGUCGCAGGUUCAAAUCCUGCCACUCCGACCA
rnacentral:tRNA from 2 species